rnacentral:rRNA from 1 species
CUUAAAAUAAAAAUUAAUUUUUAUAAAUUGAAAUAAAAGUUAUUUAUAUAUUUGUAUUUUAUAGAUAAAAUUAGAUAUUAAUAGUUUAUUUGUACUGUGAAGGAAUAAUUUAAAUUUUAUAUUUUAUGAAAAGAUUAAAUUAAAUUUUAUACCUUGUGUAUUAUGGCUUUUUUAAAAAAAUAAUAUAUCUUAUUAUUCUCGAAUUAUUAAGAGCUAAAUAAUUUGAUCAAAUAUUGUUAAAAAACUAUUUAAAAUUUUAUUUAGAGAUGAAAUAUUAAACAAUUAAAAAGAUUUCUAGUUUUUUAAGAAAAAAAUUAAAUUUUAUAAAUUAUAAUUAUUGUAAUUUUUGAAUAUAUAAUGGGAUAAGCUAUUAUAUAGAUUUAUUAUAUAGUUAAAGUUAAAUAUUUAUUUAGAAUUAAAAGUGUUUUAAUUUAAGUGUUUUAUAACAUUUUGUUAUAAUAAAAUUAAUUUUUAUUUUAAGUUAAUAAAAUUUAUUAAAAAGUUUUUUAUAAUAAAAUAUAAAAUGAUAUUAUGGAAAUAUUAGUAGAUUAAUUUGUUUAAAUAGAAAAUUAAAUUAAAUUAUUAAUUUAUUUAAAAAUUAUAAUUAGAUAAUUUGGCAAAAAUUAGGUUCGCCUGUUUAUCAAAAACAUGGUUUUUUGAAUAUAUAUAAAAAAUUAAAUCUGCUCACUGUAUUUAUGAAGAGUUGCAGUAUAUUAACUGUACGAAGGUAGCAUAAUAAAUUGUUGUUUUAAUUGAAAACUGGAAUGAAUGAUUAGACGAGCUUAGACUAUUCAAAUUAUAAAAAUUGAUUUUUAUUUUUUUGUGAAAAAUCAAAAAUAGAAUAAAUAGACAAGAAGACCCUAUAGAAUUUUAUAAAUUUGGUUCUUUUAUUGUAAGAAUAUAAAAUAUUAUAAUUUAAUUUAUUUUACUGGGGCGGUAAUAUAAUAACAUAUAUAAAAUUUAAUUUUUAAACAUAUUAUUUGAUCCAAUUAGUUUGAUUAAAAGAAAAAAUUACCUUAGGGAUAACAGCAUAAUUUAUUUGGAUAGUUCAUAUUGAUAAAUAAGUUUGUGACCUCGAUGUUGGAUUAAGAAAUCUAUUUAGUGAAGAAAUUAAAAUAGAUAGUCUGUUCGACUAUUAAAUUCUUACAUGAUCUGAGUUCAAACCGGUGUAAACCAGGUUGGUUUCUAUCUUUUAUUAAAUUAGAGAAUUAUUAUUAGUACGAAAGGACCAUAAUAAUUAAAUUAUUUUAUUUUUUUAUAGAAUAGGAAUAUAAUAGUAAAUUUAUUUAAGAUUACUUAUUUAUUUUUAU